UCGAAUUCUAAUGUGGUAAGU
rnacentral:piRNA from 1 species